rnacentral:rRNA from 1 species
GUUUGAUCAUGGCUCAGGAUGAACGCUAGCUACAGGCUUAACACAUGCAAGUCGAGGGGCAGCAUUUCAGUUUGCUUGCAAACUGGAGAUGGCGACCGGCGCACGGGUGAGUAACACGUAUCCAACCUGCCGAUAACUCGGGGAUAGCCUUUCGAAAGAAAGAUUAAUACCCGAUAGUAUAAUUAGACCGCAUGGUCUUAUUAUUAAAGAAUUUCGGUUAUCGAUGGGGAUGCGUUCCAUUAGGCAGUUGGUGAGGUAACGGCUCACCAAACCUUCGAUGGAUAGGGGUUCUGAGAGGAAGGUCCCCCACAUUGGAACUGAGACACGGUCCAAACUCCUACGGGAGGCAGCAGUGAGGAAUAUUGGUCAAUGGGCGCAGGCCUGAACCAGCCAAGUAGCGUGAAGGAUGACUGCCCUAUGGGUUGUAAACUUCUUUUAUAUGGGAAUAAAGUUUUCCACGUGUGGAAUUUUGUAUGUACCAUAUGAAUAAGGAUCGGCUAACUCCGUGCCAGCAGCCGCGGUAAUACGGAGGAUCCGAGCGUUAUCCGGAUUUAUUGGGUUUAAAGGGAGCGUAGGUGGACAGUUAAGUCAGUUGUGAAAGUUUGCGGCUCAACCGUAAAAUUGCAGUUGAUACUGGCUGUCUGAGUACAGU